rnacentral:rRNA from 1 species
AUCUUUGGCCAUACCAUCCUGAAGGUGCCUGAUCUUGUCUGAUCUUGGGAAGCUAAGCAGGGUCAGGCCUGGUUAGUACUUGGAUGGGAGACCACCUGGGAAUAUCAGGUGCUGUAGGCU